UACGUAGGGGGCAAGCGUUGUCCGGAUUUAUUGGGCGUAAAGAGCGUGUAGGCGGCCAUGUAGGUCCGUUGUGAAAACUCGAGGCUCAACCUCGAGACGCCGAUGGAAACCAUGUGGCUAGAGUCCGGAAGAGGGGAGUGGAAUUCCUGGUGUAGCGGUGAAAUGCGCAGAUAUCAGGAAGAACACCCGUGGCGAAGGCGGCUCUCUGGGACGGUACUGACGCUGAGACGCGAAAGCGUGGGGAGCGAACAGG
rnacentral:rRNA from 1 species